UGAAGCCGGAAUUGCUAGUAAUGGCAGGUCAGCAUACUGCCGUGAAUACGUUCCCGGGCCUUGUACACACCGCCCGUCACACCAUGAGAGUUGGGGAUACCCGAAGCCUGUGAGCCAACUUUUUAAGAGGCAGCAGUCGAAGGUAGAAUCAAUGAUUGGGGUGAAGUCGUAACAAGGUACC
rnacentral:rRNA from 1 species